rnacentral:rRNA from 1 species
AACGAACGCUGGCGGCAGGCCUAACACAUGCAAGUCGAACGCUCCGCAAGGGGAGUGGCGCACGGGUGAGUAACACGUGGGAACCUACCUCCUGGUACGGAACAACCAAGGGAAACUUUGGCUAAGACCGUAUACGACCUCCGGGUGAAAGAUUGAUCGCCGGAAGAGGGGCCCGCGUCCGAUUAGGUAGUUGGUGAGGUAACGGCUCACCAAGCCUUCGAUCGGUAGCUGGUCUGAGAGGAUGACCAGCCACACUGGGACUGAGACACGGCCCAGACUCCUACGGAGGCAGCAGUGGGGAAUAUUGGACAAUGGGCGCAAGCCUGAUCCAGCCAUGCCGCGUGAGUGAUGAAGCCUC